rnacentral:rRNA from 1 species
AGUGAACGCUGGCGGCGUGCCUACCACAUGCAAGUCGAACGUUGAUGGAGGAGCUUGCUCUUCCUGAUUAGUGGCGACCGGGUGAGUAACGCAUAGUUAAUGUGCCCCUUAGUCUGGGAUAGCCGCUGGACACGGUGAUUAAUACUCGAUACUCCUUCUAAUUAUAAGAUGAGUCGGGAAAGUUUUUCGCUAAGGGACCAGCCUAUGUCCUUUCAGGUAGUUGGUGAGGUAACGGCUCCCCAAGCCAAUGACGAGUAUCUUGGUUGAGAGGAUGACCACACACACUCGCACUGAGACACGGUCCAGACUCCUACGGGAGGCAGCAGUGGGGAAUAUUGCACAAUGGAGGAAACUCUGAUGCAGCAACCCCGCGUGGAGGAUGACGAAUUUCGGUGUGUAAACUCCUUUUAAGAGGGAAGAUUAUAACGGUACCUCUUGAAUAAGCACCGGCUAACUCCGUGCCAGCAGCCCCGGUAA